rnacentral:rRNA from 1 species
UACGUAGGGGGCAAGCGUUGUCCGGAAUCAUUGGGCGUAAAGAGCGUGUAGGCGGCUCGAUAAGUCCGCUCUGAAAGCCCGGGGCUCAACCCCGGGAGGCGGGCGGAUACUGUCGAGCUAGAGUCCGGAGGAGGCGAGUGGAAUUCCUGGUGUAGCGGUGAAAUGCGCAGAUAUCAGGAGGAACACCAAUGGCGAAGGCAGCUCGCUGGGACGGUACUGACGCUGAGACGCGAAAGCGUGGGGAGCAAACAGG